rnacentral:rRNA from 1 species
UACGUAGGGGGCAAGCGUUGUCCGGAUUUAUUGGGCGUAAAGCGCACGCAGGCGGUCUUUUAAGUUUUGAGUGACAGGUGGUGGCUCAACUAUCACAGGCCUUGAAAACUGGAAGACUUGAGGGCUUCAGAGGGACGCGGAAUUCCAGGUGGAGCGGUGAAAUGCGUAGAGAUCUGGAGGAACACCAGCGGCGAAGGCGGCGCUCUGGGCCGGAACUGACGCUGAGGAGCGAAGCGUGGGAGCGAACGGAUUAGAUACCGUA